rnacentral:rRNA from 1 species
UGGGGAAUAUUGGGCAAUGGGGGAAACCCUGACCCAGCGACGCCGCGUGGGUGAUGAAGGCCUUCGGGUCGUAAAGCCCUGUCGGGAGGAAAGAACGACCUCGUGGUAAAUAGCCACGGGGUGUGACGGUACCUCCGAAGGAAGCACCGGCCAACUCCGUGCCAGCAGCCGCGGUAAGACGGAGGGUGCAAGCGUUGCUCGGAAUUACUGGGCGUAAAGGGUGCGUAGGCGGCUUCUUAAGUCUGACGUGAAAGCCCAGGGCUCAGCCCUGGAAGUGCGUUAGAAACUGAGAGGCUUGAGUGCCGGAGGGGAGAGUGGAAUUCCCGGUGUAGCGGUGAAAUGCGUAGAUAUCGGGAAGAAUACCGGUGGCGAAAGCGACUCUCUGGACGGCAACUGACGCUGAGGCACGAAAGCGUGGGGAGCAAACAGG